rnacentral:rRNA from 1 species
AUCCUGGCCGUAAACGAUGGGUACUAGGUGUUGGGGGUAUCGACCCCUCCAGUGCCGGAGUUAACGCAAUAAGUACCCCGCCUGGGGAGUACGGCCGCAAGGUUGAAACUCAAAGGAAUUGACGGGGGCCCGCACAAGCGGUGGAGUAUGUGGUUUAAUUCGACGCAACGCGAAGAACCUUACCAGGACUUGACAUCGUAUGAUGAUCCUAGAGAUAGGAAGUUCUCUUUCGGGAGACAUAUAGACAGGUGGUGCAUGGCUGUCGU